rnacentral:tRNA from 1 species
ACCUGGCUGGCUCACUCGGUAGAGUGUGCGACUCUUGAUCUCGGGGUUGUGAGUUCGAGCCCCACGUAGGGUG